AGUGAACGCUGGCGGUAGGCCUAACACAUGCAAGUCGAACGGCAGCACAGUAAGAGCUGCCCUUACGGGUGGCGAGUGGCGGACGGGUGAGGAAUACAUCGGAAUCUACUUUUUCGUGGGGGAUAACGUAGGGAAACUUACGCUAAUACCGCAUACGACCUACGGGUGAAAGCAGGGGAUCUUCGGACCUUGCGCGAUUGAAUGAGCCGAUGUCGGAUUAGCUAGUUGGCGGGGUAAAGGCCCACCAAGGCGACGAUCCGUAGCUGGUCUGAGAGGAUGAUCAGCCACACUGGAACUGAGACACGGUCCAGACUCCUACGGGAGGCAGCAGUGGGGAAUAUUGGACAAUGGGCGCAAGCCUGAUCCAGCCAUACCGCGUGGGUGAAGAAGGCCUUCGGGUUGUAAAGCCCUUUUGUUGGGAAAGAAAAGCAGCAGGUUAAUACCCCGCUGUUCUGACGGUACCCAAAGAAUAAGCACCGGCUAACUUCGUG
rnacentral:rRNA from 1 species